rnacentral:rRNA from 1 species
CCUACGGGGAGCAGCAGUGGGGAAUAUUGGACAAUGGGCGAAAGCCUGAUCCAGCCAUGCCGCGUGUGUGAAGAAGGCCUUCGGGUUGUAAAGCACUUUCAGUGGGGAAGAAAGCCUUGGGGCUAAUACCCUCGAGGAAGGACAUCACCCACAGAAGAAGCACCGGCUAACUCCGUGCCAGCAGCCGCGGUAAUACGGAGGGUGCGAGCGUUAAUCGGAAUUACUGGGCGUAAAGCGCGCGUAGGCGGUCUGAUAAGCCGGUUGUGAAAGCCCCGGGCUCAACCUGGGAACGGCAUCCGGAACUGUCAGGCUAGAGUGCAGGAGAGGAAGGUAGAAUUCCCGGUGUAGCGGUGAAAUGCGUAGAGAUCGGGAGGAAUACCAGUGGCGAAGGCGGCCUUCUGGACUGACACUGACGCUGAGGUGCGAAAGCGUGGGUAGCAAACAGGAUUAGAUACCCCGUAGUC